UACAGAGGUCUCAAGCGUUGUUCGGAUUCAUUGGGCGUAAAGGGUGCGUAGGUGGCGCGGUAAGUCGGGUGUGAAAUUUCGGAGCUUAACUCCGAAACUGCAUUCGAUACUGCCGUGCUUGAGGACUGGAGAGGAGACUGGAAAUUUACGGUGUAGCAGUGAAAUGCGUAGAGAUCGUAAGGAAGACCAGUGGCGAAGGCGGGUCUCUGGACAGUUCCUGACACUGGAGGCACGAAGGCCAGGGGAGCAAAACGGG
rnacentral:rRNA from 1 species